rnacentral:rRNA from 1 species
UACGUAGGUUGCGAGCGUUGUCCGGAAUUAUUGGGCGUAAAGGGCGCGUAGGCGGUUUGGCGCGUCGGGCGUGAAAUCCACUGGCUUAACUGGUGGCUUGCUUUCGAUACGGGCAGACUGGAGGUAUGCAGGGGAGAACGGAAUUCCUGGUGUAGCGGUGAAAUGCGCAGAUAUCAGGAGGAACACCGGUGGCGAAGGCGGUUCUCUGGGCAUGUCCUGACGCUGAGGAGCGAAAGUGUGGGGAGCGAACAGG